rnacentral:rRNA from 1 species
UAUGUUAGUUGCCAUCAUUCAGUUGGCACUCUAGCGAGACUGCCGGUAAUAAACCGGAGGAAGUGGGGAUGACGUCAAAUCAUCAUGCCCCUUAUGACCUGGGCUACACACGUGCUACAAUGGUUGGUACAACGAGUUGCGAGUCGGUGACGGCGAGCUAAUCUCUUAAAGCCAAUUUCAGUUCGGAUUGUAGGCUGCAACUCGCCUACAUGAAGUCGGAAUCGCUAGUAAUCGCGGAUCAGCACGCCGCGGUGAAUACGUUCCCGGGCCUU